GGGUAUAUAGCUCAGUGGUAGAGUGCGUGCUUAACAUGCAUGAGGUCCCGGGUUCAAUCCCCAGCAUCUCCA
rnacentral:tRNA from 1 species